rnacentral:rRNA from 1 species
GACGAACGCUGGCGGCGUGCUUAACACAUGCAAGUCGAACGGAAAGGCCCUGCUUUUGUGGGGUGCUCGAGUGGCGAACGGGUGAGUAACACGUGAGUAACCUGCCCUUGACUUUGGGAUAACUUCAGGAAACUGGGGCUAAUACCGGAUAGGAGCUCCUGCUGCAUGGUGUGGGUUGGAAAGUUUCGGCGGUUGGGGAUGGACUCGCGGCUUAUCAGCUUGUUGGUGGGGUAGUGGCUUACCAAGGCUUUGACGGGUAGCCGGCCUGAGAGGGUGACCGGGAACAUUGGGACUGAGAUAGGGCCCAGACGGGUACGGGAGGCAGCAGUGGGGAAUAUUGCAGAAUGGGCGGAAGCGUGAUGCAGCAACGCCGCGUGCGGGAUGACGGCCUUCGGGUUGUAAACCGCUUUCGCAUGUGACGAAGCGUGAGUGACGGUAAUGGGUAAAGAAGCACCGGCUAACUACGUG